rnacentral:misc_RNA from 1 species
GCUAGGGUAUAUUCAAUCAUCGCAAAGUCAAAAGAAAAACUCGUUCUUUAUCAAGAAUUGCAGAUCCGGCUCAAAGAAAGCCAACGGGCAGUGGGCGAUGCCAAUGCGGAUGCUGACCUUCAUCGUAGUGCCCCUGAGAAGAUCAAAGCAAUGGGUCAAGUUUUAUCAAGAGCAAGGGAACAGUUGUAUGAUUGCAAGGCAAUAACUCAAAGACUCCGCGCAAUGCUUCAAGCAG